GCUGCUCGAACGCAUUCGCCGAGAGCAGCAGAGUGCCCGCACUCGCCUUCAGGAAAUGGAACGCCGAUUCCAUGAGCUUGAGGCCAUCAUUCUACGUGCCAAGCAGCAGGCUGUGCGCGAGGAUGAGGAGGUGAGCAAGCAGGGGUGCAGCAGGGCAGGGCCAGUACUUUGUCCUUCCCAGCCUUAUUGUUCCUUCCAUUCCAUGCAGAGUAACGAGGGUGACAGUGAUGACACAGACCUGCAGAUCUUCUGUGUUUCCUGUGGGCACCCCAUCAACCCACGUGUUGCUUUGCGCCACAUGGAGCGCUGCUACGCCAAGGUUGGGGUGUCAGACUGAGGGGGCGGACCAUGUGGGAACAUCGGUGGGCCAGUGGGGGACAGAUUUGUUGUCUGGGUGGUGUCUUGGGAGGGCAUGCAGUGCACAUCCACAGUUCCCUCCAUUUGUGCUCAUCCCUCCAGUAUGAGAGCCAGACGUCCUUUGGGUCCAUGUACCCCACACGCAUUGAAGGGUAAGUGAGGGUGCCACGCAGAGUGAGAGGUGGGGGGUUAAGGUGGGGGUCAGAAGUGGGAUGUGUGUGGAGCUGGGGCAGGAUACGGGCACUGGCCAGGACAGGUGGACCUCCCUUCCCUCCCUCUACUACCGUCUGUACUCCAAAUCCCCAGGGCCACACGACUCUUCUGUGAUGUGUAUAAUCCUCAGAGCAAAACAUACUGUAAGCGGCUCCAGGUGCUGUGCCCCGAGCACUCACGGGACCCCAAAGUAAGGUUUUCCCUCAGCUCCUCCCAUUUUGCCCCUCCUCCCUGCCUCGCUGUCCCACAUUCAUCCCUUCCUUCCUCACCUCACCUUUCCUUCACUUUUUCCUCUCAGCUUCCCUGCUGCUUCACCCUCCAUUCCUCCUUUUCCAUGCCUCCCCACCGUUCCCUGAACCCUCCAUUCUUUUCCUU
rnacentral:sRNA from 1 species